ensembl:lncRNA novel transcript
UGGAACUAAUACAUAACUUCAGUAAAGUUUCAGGAUACAAAGCAAUAUACAAAAAUCAGUAGUAUUUCUAUAUACUAAUAAUGUUCAAGGUGACAGCCAAUAAAACAUGCAAUCCUAUUUACACUAACCAGCAAAAAAAUUAAAAUAUCUAGAAAAUCAUCUCUCCAAGGAGGUGAAAGAUCUCUACAAGGAGAACUACAAAACAGUGCUGAAAGAAAUCAUAGAUGACGCAAACAAAUAACAAAAUAUUCCAUACUCACGAAUUUGAAGAAUCAAUAUUGUUAAAAUGGCCAUACUGCCCAAAGCAAUCUACAGAUUUAGCACUAUGUCUAUCAAACUACCAAUGUCAUUUUCACAAAAUUAGAAAAAAAACUAUUCUAAAAUUCAAAUGGAACCAAAAUAGAGCCUGAAUAGCUAAAGCAACCCUAUGAAAAGAGAACAAAGCUGGAGGCAUCACAUUACCUGACUUCAAGCCAUACUAUAAGGCUGUAGUAACCAAAACAGCAUGGUAAUGGUACCAAAGGAGACAGGUAGACCAAUGGAACAGAAUAGAGAACCCAGAGGUAAAGCCUCACAUCUACAGCAAUCUGAUCUUUGACAAAGUUGACAAAGUAUGAUUGCAGGACUACAAACAGAGAACAUUUGCAGAGCCAUAAUUUUCUACCAUACUGAUAGGCCCACUGAUGAACCUUUACAGUCCUCCUCUUUGAGCCAUGCUUCCUGCUUCCGUGGGCCAAGUUUAUGCUUCUGAGCUCCUGACGAGUGCUUCUGCAACUGAUCCACAUGCACAUAGCCAGGUGCCCUAUG